rnacentral:rRNA from 1 species
AUGAUAAAUAGAUACUGGUGGAGCCAAGUGGAUAAAGAGAAUAAAAUACAUUGGGCUAGCUGGGAGAAGAUGACGAAGACGAAGAAAACAGGAGGCUUGGGAUUUAGGGAUCUACAUGCCUUCAAUCUGGCCAUGCUUGCAAGGCAAGCAUGGAGGCUCAUUCAAAACCCAGCUUCCUUAUGUGCGCAGGUCCUGUCAGCAAGAUACUAUUCAGAUGGCUCAGUUCUUCAAGCCAGGCCUAGAAGCGGCAUAUCCUACACAUGGCGCAGUAUACUAAAAGGAGUAGAUCUGCUCAAGAAAGGGAUCAUAUGGAGAGUAGGCAGUGGUAGCAACAUCAAUAUUUGGUCUGACCCCUGGAUUCCAAGAGGAAGUACUAGGAGAGUCAUCACACAGAGGGGUGGAAAUGUUGUAACUAAAGUAAAUGAUUUGAUUGAUCCUACCACAAACAAUUGGGAUGAAGACUUAGUUAGACAAACCUUUCUCCCUGAAGAUGCAAAUAUUAUUCUACAAAUCCCAAUUCAUACACAUGAAGAUGAUUGCAUAGCAUGGCACUAUGAUAAAAAAGGUAUAUUUUCGGUGAAAUCAGCUUAUAGAGUUGCUGUAGACACCACGGCUCGUGAAUCU